rnacentral:rRNA from 1 species
GACUCCUACGGGACGCAGCAGUAGGGAAUUUUCGUCAAUGGGCGCAAGCCUGAACGAGCAAUGCCGUGUGAACGAGGAAGGUCUUCGGAUCGUAAAGUUCUGUUGAAGGGGAAAAAGAGCGGAGAGAGGAAAUGAACUCCGAUUGAUAUUACCCUUCGAGGAAGUCACGGCUAACUACGUGCCAGCAGCCGCGGUAAUACGUAGGUGGCGAGCGUUAUCCGGAAUGAUUGGGCGUAAAGGGUGCGUAGGCGGCCUGCCAAGUCUGGAGGGAAAGGUACCGGCUCAACCGGUACAGGCUCUGGAAA